ensembl:lncRNA
UGAGGAGCCAACAGCAGAGAACACGAAGGUAGUACUUGAACCAAAAAAAAAAAAAAAAAGUUGUUGCUGAUGCCCCAUCUCCAUGAGGUGGUGGUGCGCGUGUCCCGCCUCAGGCUUCUCCGUUUCCCACACGGGGCUGCCUGGUGCGCCUCCAUGCUUGGAGAGCUCUGCACCCCCGCGCUUCCGGCCCCAAUGCCAAUACCAUAUUCUGACUUCUGUGCGGAAGCCAGCCACUCCAGAAGGCUAUGUAUUUCAAGUUUUCCAUACCAGAAGAACUGCACAUAGAUGAAGAUGCAUUUCAUCAACCCUGCAAGAAACAAACACCAAAACAAAACCCCGGAGCAACUGCACCACUUUCUUGAAAUAAUCAGUUUGGCCAUCCAGAAUGGAAAGAAGAAGAAAAGAAAAGAUCUUUCCAGCAAAUGAAGACAUUAUUAUGCUUCUCACAAAUACGGCUUAUUGAAAUCAGAAGGAGACAUUCUUUUCAAGCACAAGGAACUAAAUGCUCAUGAUUUGUGCAGAGAACUACCCAGUCUCACCAAAGAAAGAUUUUUAAAAAAGCUUGGAGAGGGAGAGAAGAGCGAAGAGAAAAAGAUGGAAAGUUCUUUUAUUAUUCUUAUCUUGGACUAUUCAAGGUG